UUACGUGACACGGGGUGCCCAUCCGGGCUGAGAACACACCCGUCGAACCUGAUCUAGUUCGUACUAGCGAAGGGAUGUCGCGCUUAUGCGCA
rnacentral:ncRNA from 1 species